ensembl:lncRNA
AAAAGUUUCCAUGAUUUUUAAAGACUAUAAUCACUUUAAUAUGCUGCAUUUCAACUUUGACAAUGCAAACAGGUAAAGUAAGAAAAGAAACUGAGUGUAGUAGUAUCUAGUGGGUAAGAAUAAUUUAUUAUACUGGAAGCUACCAGAUAAUUCACGGUGAAGAUGCUUGUCCUAACUGCUAAAAUCUUUAGUUACAUCUUUGUAAACUUGAAAGGAUGAAGAGGAGGGAACCAAAGUUUUUUUCUUGUGUACUCUGGGUCAGGCACCUUACAAAUCUAGAAGAAAAUGAAAAGAAACAUUCUGCCUAUCUUGACAUGGAAAUUUAAACAUUUUGUUUUUCAUCCUUUGCCAUUUCAAAGUAUUAAAAAAAAAAAAGGCCUAUGCAGUUAUGCAAAUAAAUCUCACCUCAGGAAGAUGCCUUUUCCUAAGAGAACAGGGUAGAAACAUUUUCCACUUGCUAGUGACUUGUUAUCUAGUUUUAACUAAGCCGUCAGUCUAAUGUAAAGGGGGAAAAAACAGGAGAGGGGAAACAGAGAAGAGCUAGCUGAGUGCCAGAGAUUCCAAAACCCUAAUCAUGAGACAAAAUUCCCUAGGUAGUUCUCUAGAAGAGGAGAGAUCUGGCCUGGCAAGGGGAGGGAUAGAAGUGGUGAAUCAUUAACUCUUUUAAUCCUCCCAACAACCUUUUAAGAUAGGUAUCGUUUUUCAAAAGAGGAGACUGAAAGUAGAAAGAUUAUAUUGGAGAAGGUAACAUUAUACCACUGCCUCCUUUACAUGAAGUGGGAAGAGUUUGUCAGGCACAGUGAGGGAAGACAUUACAAGCAGAGAAAUCAACAUAUGUACUAUACGGCUGGAUUACAGGCCACAGGGGUCAUUCCAAAUAUUUAUUGAGGACAAGACCUUGUGUUAAGUGCUGAAGAUACAGAGAUAAAUAAAACAGCUGCCCUAAAGCAACUGACACUAGCGAGAGAGACCUUCAAGAAAACAAACAAAAAAUAUAAUAUAGGGUGAAUAACUGCUGUGAUAGAGGCAAAUGUUCAAGAGAUUGGAAAAUGAUAAGAUGAGCAGCCAGAGGGAAUGUGGGAAAGCCAAUGAAGGUGAUGCUUAAGCUAAGUCCAAAUGUUAAAGUUAUUCGCUACUGAUUCUAAAAUUGUUCUGGGAUAGAUUCUAAGGAAGUGAAAUUGGAAGAACAUCAGAGAAGAUGAGAAAAGAAACAAACCAGUCAAAGGAAUUCUAAAAGGUCUAAUUCAAAUUUGUGAGCCGCGUUUAUUUAGAGAAAUAAAUGAACGUUGCAAGAGAUAGCUGCUAUAAGAGCUUACAGUAGGGUCAUUCACUGAUCUGGCCAGAAAUGUUAGGAAGGCUUCCUUGAGGAAGUCACACUGGAAUGGAGAUCUGAGGAUAAGAGAGGAGAAAAAGAAACAGAGGGAACUUUUGUCAGGAGGGAACUUUGGAAGCCUGAGGGACUGAAAGGAGGCCAUUGUGGCUAGAGCAUAGAAUGCUGGGAGGGAGUGCUACAGUAUGAAGCUGGAGACCAGAUUAAGCAGGACCUCACUGGCCAUGCUGAGAACCUUCAUCUUUUUCUUGAGAGCAUCUUUUUCUUGUGGAGGGGAUUUGACAUAGUCAGAUCUGUGUUUUAAAAAGAUUAUUCCAGCUGCAGUGUGGGAACGUGAACAGGGUCAGCAUUAGACCAAUUAGGACCUAUGGGUAGUGGUUAGUGUCGGUAGUGGUUCAAGUGAAUUGAGUGGGAAGAAGGAAGUGGAGACAAGUGGGAGAAAUGGAACAAUUUGGGAAGUAAAAUGGGAGAUCUUGGUGAUGGAUUUAGAUAUGGUAGAGUGGAAUGGGGACUGACGAGAGGGAGGAGUCAGAGACGAUGGGAUUUCUGGCGGGCCCAGUGCGUGGGUAGUAAAUGCUAUCGCUGGAUGUGGGGGACACUGAAAGAGAGUUGGUUUUGGAGGAAGAUGGUGUUUCAACAUUUGAACAUGUUGAGUUUAAGAUGUUUUUGUGACUUCAAGGAGAAAUGUCAAGUAAGCAGAUCUAUGGAUCUGCAGAGGAGAAGUCUGGGCUGGAGAAAAAAAAUAUUUUACAGUUUGUAAUUUGUCCUUUUCCACAAGUUUUGCUGCCUAAUUGCUCAUUCUUAAGCAAUAUAGCUUAGGCCUGUUUUUGAACUCUGCGUCAAUGGAAUCAUAGAGUAAGUUCUUUCACAUCUUGAAAUUUUUUGAUGAACGUUAUGUCUGUAAGAUUCACUUAUGUGGAUGCGGCUGUAGUUUACUCAUUUUCAUUUUGUAGGUUACUAUAUUGCAUGGGUAUACCAUGAUUUGUUUAUCUAUUCUACUAUUGGUGGACGUAUAGGCUAUCUUGUUUGGGCUAUUAUAGACUAUGCUGUUGUGAAUGUCUGCACGUGUGUGCACGUGUGUGUGUAUCCUGGAGCACAUAAACAUGGAUUUUGAUAGCGUCUUUACCUUGGUAUGGAAUUCCUGGUUCAUAGGGAAUAUUUAUCUUCAGCUUUACAAGACCAUGCCAAAAUUUUUCAAAAUGAUUGUACCAAUUUAUAUAACGUAAAAGUUCCUGUCACUCCACAUCGUCACCAACACUUGAACUGUCUGACAUUUUAAUUUUUGCCAAUAUAAUGGAUAUGCAAUGCCAACUUAUUGUGGCACUAUUUUGCAUUUCCCUGAUUAUUAAUGAAGAAUAGCAUCUCUUCGUAUGUUUCAUUAUCUCAUUGUUUAGGUGUUUUCCCAUUUUUAUAUUGGGUUGUCUGGCUUUUUCUUAUUGAUUGUAUUAAUUGAUUAUAUAAUGUGGAAACAAGUCUUUGGUUGAUUAUAUGUGCUACAAAUAUUUUUUCCGCUCUGUGGCUUGCCUUUUCACUCUCUUAGUAAUGUCUUUUGAUGAAAAGGAAUUCUUUUUUUGUUGUUGGCUGACGAAGAUUUGCCCUGAGCUCACAGCUAUUGCCAAUC